AUACUUACCUGGACGGGGUCAAUGGACGAUCAAUAGGGUUCAUGGCCUAGGCUUGUGACCUCCAUUGCACUUGGAAGGGGUGCAUGCCUAAGGUCUCCCCAAGUGGGAGAGCCUACAUCAUAAUUUGUGGUAGUGGGGGCCUGCGUUCGCGCGGCCCCGUC